rnacentral:rRNA from 1 species
CAUAUUUUAGAGCUCUAGUCACUCAGUUUAAUUAAACCAAAUUACUUACAAAUCCACCUUCAAGCUUCUCUUACAAAAAUAUACUAUCCAUAAAUAAAUAUAAUUUAUUGUAACCCAUUUCAACCUUAUUUAUAAACUGCACCUUGAUCUGAUUUACCAAAUUAUUCUAUUACCCGAAUAUUUAAAAUCCUACUAGAAUAUCCAGCUACGACGAUAUACAAAUUAAUAAAAUAAGUUAAAUAAAUCGUGAGAUAUCGAUUAAAGAACAGGUUCCUCUGAAAAGACUAAAAUACCGCCAAAUUUUUUAACUUUCAAGACCAUAUCUAAUACUAAUUAAAUUUCAUUAUUAACAUUAUU